UACUGCCGCUGCAUCGGCCAACGGGGAGGCCAAGGCCUCCGGAUCUGGCGACCCCAGCCUCCCCACUGGAGGAUCCGGCUAGCCGG
rnacentral:pre_miRNA from 1 species